AGAUUAACGUAUUAGUAAUCCAAUUGUAGGCGGUUCGUGUGUGGAUCUCGUCAGUAUAUCGUCGCAAACAGGUAAUCCCCAACCAUAGUGGGCUUGGAGCUGUGAGGGAAUUCGGAGUGGCCACCCGUUCUGAAAGUUUGAUUUUCUUCUGGUGAACUGGACAUCCUUUUAUUUACUUUUGAAGUUUUGGGUUUUUAAAUGUAAUAAGGCCGCUUAAUUAUUUUUGAUGGUUUUAA